rnacentral:misc_RNA from 1 species
CGCACCUUGCGCCCUUUGGUAUUCCGAAGGGCAUGCCUGUUUGAGUGUCAUGUAGACUCAACCCUCAAGGUUUCCCUUGAACGGUUGGAUUUGGGCGUCUGCCAUUAACCCUGGCUCGCCUUAAAAGCAUUAGUGGGGCUGUCGCUCUCAUGUCUGGCGUAAUAAGUUUCGCUGGAGCUGGAGUGAUGGGCCCGCUCAUAACCCCCCAUAUUUUGACUCUGACCUCAAAUCAGGUAGGGCUACCCGCUGAACUUAA